rnacentral:sRNA from 1 species
GUUAUAAGGCUUCUUGA